rnacentral:rRNA from 1 species
GUUAAUACGUUCCCGGGCCUUGUACACACCGCCAGUCACACAAUGGGAGUGGGUUGCAAAAGAAGUAGGUAGCUUAACCUUCGGGAGGGCUCUUACCACUUUGUGAUUCAUGCCUGGGGUGAAGUCGUAACAAGGUAACCGUAGGUGAACCUGCGGUUGGAUCACCUCCUUAACUUAAAGAAGC